rnacentral:misc_RNA from 1 species
CGAAAUGCGAUACGCAGUGCGAAUUGCAGAACGCGAGUCAUCAGAUCUUUGAACGCAAGUGGCGCCGGUUAGCAGCCGGCAUGCGAGGCUCAGUGUGUUUGGAAAUCACAAAAGCGGAAUGUGGUUGAAGUGUAUUAUAUAUACUUCUCCCAUUAAACGCAUGUGGGCUGAAAGGACUUUCCCUAAACCGGAAAGUCACACCUUUCUUGCAUCCACACACCCUUCGGAAGUAGUCACUAGCUCCCUAGUGAUCUACGAAGAGAGUGUUGUUGUGUUGCGCGAUAGGGUGCCUAGCUCAAAUUUGUAAUUCUCCUCUCACCUCUACACCUGAGCUUCACAAGGUCACCCGCUGAACUUAAGC